rnacentral:rRNA from 1 species
UACAGAGACUGCAAGCGUUAUUCGGAUUCACUGGGCGUAAAGGGUGCGCAGGCGGUCGUGUGUGUCAGGUGUGAAAUCCCGGAGCUUAACUCCGGAACUGCGCCUGAAACUACAUGACUAGAGCAUUGGAGAGGGAAGUGGAAUUCAUGGUGUAGCAGUGAAAUGCGUAGAUAUCAUGAGGAACACCAGAGGCGAAGGCGACUUCCUGGACAAUUGCUGGCGCUCAGGCACGAAAGCAUGGGGAGCAAAAGGG